rnacentral:rRNA from 1 species
GAUGAACGCUGGCGGCGUGCCUAAUACAUGCAAGUCGAGCGAACAGACGAGGAGCUUGCUCCUCUGACGUUAGCGGCGGACGGGUGAGUAACACGUGGAUAACCUACCUAUAAGACUGGGAUAACUUCGGGAAACCGGAGCUAAUACCGGAUAAUAUAUUGAACCGCAUGGUUCAAUAGUGAAAGACGGUUUUGCUGUCACUUAUAGAUGGAUCCGCGCCGCAUUAGCUAGUUGGUAAGGUAACGGCUUACCAAGGCAACGAUGCGUAGCCGACCUGAGAGGGUGAACGGCCACACUGGAACUGAGACACGGUCCAGACUCCUACGGGAGGCAGCAGUAGGGAAUCUUCCGCAAUGGGCGAAAGCCUGACGGAGCAACGCCGCGUGAGUGAUGAGGGUCUUCGGAUCGUAAAACUCUGUUAUUAGGGAAGAACAAAUGUGUAAGUAACUAUGCACGUCUUGACGGUACCUAAUCAGAAAGCCACGGCUAACUACGUG